GUGCCAGCCGCCGCGGUAAUACGUAGGGUGCGAGCGUUAAUCGGAAUUACUGGGCGUAAAGCGUGCGCAGGCGGUGAUGUAAGACAGUCGUGAAAUCCCCGGGCUCAACCUGGGAAUUGCGAUUGUGACUGCAUCGCUGGAGUGCGGCAGAGGGGGAUGGAAUUCCGCGUGUAGCAGUGAAAUGCGUAGAUAUGCGGAGGAACACCGAUGGCGAAGGCAAUCCCCUGGGCCUGCACUGACGCUCAUGCACGAAAGCGUGGGGAGCAAACAGGAUUAGAUACCCGUGUAGUCC
rnacentral:rRNA from 1 species